rnacentral:rRNA from 1 species
CCUACGGGAGGCAGCAGUAGGGAAUAUUGCUCAAUGGGGGAAACCCUGACGCAGCAACGCCGCGUGGGUGAUGAAGGUUUUCGGAUUGUAAACCUCUUUUGUUAGAGAAGAUCAAGACGGUAAGUAACGGAUAAGCACCGGCUAACUACGUGCCAGCAGCCGAGGUAAUACGGAGGGUGCAAGCGUUACUCGGAAUGACUGGGCGUAAAGAGCGCGUAGGUGGUAUAGCAAGUCAGAUGUGAAAUCCUAUGGCUUAACCAGAGAACUGCAUUUGAAACUGGUAGUCUAGAGUAUAGAAGAGGUGAGUGGAAUUCUAGGUGUAGCGGUAAAAUGCGUAGAGAUAAAGAGGAAUACUCGUGGCGAAGGCGACCUGCUAGAACGUAACUGACGCUGAGGCGCGAGAGCGUGGGGAGCAAACAGGAUUAGAUACCCUGGUAGUC